CUCCUACGGGAGGCAGCAGUGGGGAAUUUUGGACAAUGGGGGCAAGCUUGAUCCAGCAAUGCCGGGUGGAGGAAGAAGCCCUUCGGGUUGUAAACUUUUUUUGUCCGGAAAGAAACGGUCUGUUUUAAUACCGUGGGCUUAUGACGGUCCCGAAAGAAUAAGCCCCGUCUAUUUGUGUCCCAGCACCCGCGGUAAUACGUAGGGCGCGAGCUUUUAUCGGAUUUUCUGGGUAUAAAGCGUGCGCAGGCGGUUAUAUAAGUCAGAUGUGAAAUCCCCGGUCUCACCCUGGGAAUCGCUUUAGACACUGCAUAUCUAGAGUGCGAGAGAGGGGGGUGAAAUUCCGCGUGUAGCAGUGAAAUGUGUAGAUAUGGGGAGGAACCCCGAUGGCGAAGGCACUCCCCUGGCCCAAUACUCACUCUCAUGCGAGAAAGCGUGGGGCGCACACAGGUUUAUAUCCCCUGGUAGUCCACCCCCUAAACGAUGUCAACUAGUUGUUGGGUCUUUAACUCACUCAGUGCGCAGCUAACGCGU
rnacentral:rRNA from 1 species